rnacentral:rRNA from 1 species
UACGUAGGGUGCAAGCGUUGUCCGGAAUUAUUGGGCGUAAAGGGCUCGUAGGCGGUCCAUCACGUCGGGAGUGAAAAGCUGGGGCUUAACCCCAGUCCUGCUUCCGAUACGGGUGGACUAGAGGUAGGCAGGGGAGAACGGAAUUCCUGGUGUAGCGGUGAAAUGCGCAGAUAUCAGGAGGAACACCGGUGGCGAAGGCGGAUCUCUGGGCCAUUACUGACGCUGAGGAGCGAAAGCGUGGGGAGCGAACAGG